CACACAAUUACGUAUAUUCGAUAUUUUCAACGCACAUAAAUCAACCUAAUUGCAUAACUGGUCAACUCAGUUAUGAGGGUUACACGUUACUAACGUUAACCACGCACGGUAUUCAUGACUAUAAAAAUGAAUCAACAAGAACACUCCUUUCAGUCAUCGCAGGAGAUGCGACGGAUAUUGUCCAGUGUACAUAACCUUAAUUUAUUUUUUAACCAUAAGUAUAUUGUAUUCUUAGGGAUUCUUAGGUGAUUCUAUAAUUCGUUUAAUCAUUUUAUGAGCUUUUCAUCGUGACACGUGACUAUAAGUACAGUAAUGGGUAAAAAAAUGUUCAAAAAUGACGCGACGGAAAUUCGCCUCGAAAAACCAGCCACGAUAACAGCGAAACAUCUUGAACAGAGAGCAAAAAAUGAGCCCAACAAUGAACCGUACCCUGGAGGAUGGAGUCCCCUUUUGGUACUGGCCGGUAUUACUUGCUGCUUGGGCUCAGCCCUACCAGCUGGUUAUAAUAUUGGUGUCAUAAAUAACCCUGCUGAUCUAAUGAAGAGAUUUUGUAAUGAAACAAUCGAAGAACGUUUUAAUGUCCAAUUAACAGAAGAGACGUUAAAUAUAGUUUGGGCAACUGUUGUUUCAAUUUUUCUGGUCGGAGGAGUAACAGGUUCCCUAUCUGCAGGUUGGUUAGCCGAUAAACUGGGCAGAAGAGGUGCUCUCGCAAUUGGCAACACUUGCGGAAUAAUCGGAGCAAUAUUUUUCAUAUCUGCUAAAGCUGCGAAUUCAGUAGAAAUCCUGAUGGUGGGCCGAUUAUUUGUAGGACUUUCCGGAGGUCUGGCAACAAGCCUUGUGCCGAUGUACAUGACAGAAACAGCACCUUUAAAAUUGAGAGGAGCAGUGGGAGUACUUUGCCAAUUGGGCAUUACCUGUGGCGUGUUGUUGGGUCAAAUUGUAAGUCUCGAUUCUACUUUGGGAACUGAAAACUCUUGGCCCAUCAUGCUAGUUGCAUUUUCACCUCUUUGUUUAACUUCUUUGGGACUGUUAUUUGUGUUGCCAGAGAGUCCGAAAUAUUUAUAUGUCAUCAGAAGUCAAGGAGGAAAAGCUAUUAAGGAACUCAGCCGUCUGCGGAAUAUGGACGUAUCUCUACUGAGUAACGAAGUAGCGAGUUUAGACCAAGAAGCAGUUACCGCCGAAGCAACGGAGAUUUGGACAAUUGGUCGCGUGGUGAAAGAUCCUUCUCUUAGACUACCACUACUACUUGUUUGCACUAUGCAAGCUGGGCAACAAUUGAGUGGUGUCAAUGCAGUAUUCUUCUAUUCGAAUAAAAUAUUUCAAGAAGCCAAAUUAGGAGAAACUGGUGCCCAAUAUGCGACUCUUGGAACCGGUGUAAUCAACGUAGUCAUGGCGUUGAUAGCAGUGCCAGUAAUGUCUCUCUUUGGAAGAAGAACAUUAUUCCUCCUUAGCUGUUACUUGGCUGUUGGCUGUUUGACUUUCCUCUGUUUUGCAAUUAUAUUUAUAGAAGCUGCUGCCGUUAUGCCUUGGCUUUGCAUGAUAGCUGUCUUGGCUUAUGUCUUAUUCUACGGUCUGGGUUUGGGACCUAUACCAUAUUUCAUAGGCUCAGAGCUAUUCGACGUUGGACCACGACCUGCAGCCAUGGCUCUAGGAGGUGUUUCUAACUGGGGUGCUAACUUCAUUGUCGGAAUGGGAUUUGAAUCUGUGAUGACCAUAAUUGGACCGUACAGUUUUCUCAUAUUUUCUGGCUGCACUUUAUUACUUGCACUUUUCAACAGGGUUUACUUACCAGAGACACGUGGUAGAGAUACUAUGGAAAUAUCAGCGACUAUGACCAAAGGAUUUAAAUCAAGACCUAAUUACACACCAGUUGCUCAAUGGCGGCCCUAAUUUCAAUGGAUCUUUGAAUGGAGGAACUAUUCUAUGUCAAUAUGGCUCUACCUCAUAACGAAGAGGUAGCAUCCAACAAAAGUAUAAGAGUAAUGUACUUAACGAGCCUAGUACAAAGUAGCAGGUUUAUUACGAACGAGCUGGCAAAACCUUCAACUGUCAGACUGUAUAAUGAUCAACAUUUAACUUUGGGAUUUUUUUGUAAUAUGAAAAUACAAAAAGAAGUCUGAGAUAAUUAUUUUUGAUUUCAACCAGUCCGAUGCCAAACUAAACGACGUUAGCUGUGUUGCAGAUCCUACAAAAAGUCUGGGAACACCAGCGUUCCACCCACGAUAAAAACUUUUGAAUCCCCCUUCUCUCCACAAAUUUCGGAACGCAGCCCACGUGCUAACGUGACCGUGCUGGUGGCCGACUGCUAUAGAAGAAGCAGCUUGAGCUUGUAAUUGUGUUUUGACCUAAAAAGAUCAGAUAAUAUAAACUCAAAAUUGCUGCUAAUAUUUGUAAUUUGGCAAGAUAAGCUUUCGGAUGAAUCGACUGAAGGAAACAUCUUUGCAAAGAUCAAUUUGAAAACAGAAUAUUGCUCAUUUACCAUGUACAAAGGACUACCAAUAAUAGAUGCCACAGCACCUGCAGUACCAGAUAUUACUGCGGUCUUUACAAUACUGGUUUUUCCAUACUUGUUCAAAGUCCAUUUGUGCUUUUUUGCAAUAUUGUAAGUUCCUAGCCGGACUCCAUUUAGAACCAGUUGGAAUCCAAUAGCUGGUAUAAAGCCG